AACGAACGCUGGCGGCAUGCCUAACACAUGCAAGUCGAACGAGACCUUCGGGUCUAGUGGCGCACGGGUGCGUAACGCGUGGGAACCUGCCCUUAGGUUCGGAAUAACUCCCCGAAAGGGGUGCUAAUACCGGAUAAUGUCUUCGGACCAAAGAUUUAUCGCCUUUGGAUGGGCCCGCGUUGGAUUAGCUAGUUGGUAGGGUAAAAGCCUACCAAGGCGACGAUCCAUAGCUGGUCUGAGAGGAUGAUCAGCCACACUGGGACUGAGACACGGCCCAGACUCCUACGGGAAGCAGCAGUGGGGAAUAUUGGAAAAUGGGCGAAAGCCUGAUCCAGUAAUGCCGCGUGAGUGAUGAAGGCCGUAGGGUUGUAAAGCGCUUUUACCCGGGAUGAUAAUGACAGUACCGGGAGAAUAAGCUCCGGCUAACUCCGUG
rnacentral:rRNA from 1 species